UACGAAGGGGGCUAGCGUUGCUCGGAAUUACUGGGCGUAAAGGGAGCGUAGGCGGACAUUUAAGUCGGGGGUGAAAUCCCAGAGCUCAACUCUGGAACUGCCUUCGAUACUGGCGAUCUUCGAGUCCGGGAGAGGUGAGUGGAACUCCGAGUGUAGAGGUGAAAUUCGUAGAUAUUCGGAAAGAACACCAGUGGCGAAGGCGGCUCACUGG
rnacentral:rRNA from 1 species